GACGAACGCUGGCGGCGUGCUUAACACAUGCAAGUCGAACGAUGACGACCGAGCUUGCUCGGUCUGAUUAGUGGCGAACGGGUGAGUAACACGUGAGCAACCUGCCCUUCACUCUGGGAUAACCUCGGGAAAUCGGGGCUAAUACCGGAUAUGAGCUCCUGUCGCAUGGCGGGUGUUGGAAAGUUUUUCGGUGAAGGAUGGGCUCGCGGCCUAUCAGUUUGUUGGUGAGGUAGUGGCUCACCAAGGCGAUGACGGGUAGCCGGCCUGAGAGGGCGACCGGCCACACUGGGACUGAGACACGGCCCAGACUCCUACGGGAGGCAGCAGUGGGGAAUAUUGCACAAUGGGCGAAAGCCUGAUGCAGCGACGCCGCGUGAGGGAUGACGGCCUUCGGGUUGUAAACCUCUUUCAGCAGGGAAGAAGCGAAAGUGACGGUACCUGCAGAAGAAGCGCCGGCGAACUACGU
rnacentral:rRNA from 1 species